UUACGGUCAUAUCACGUUGAAACCUUGAUUCUCGUACGAUCACCGAAGUUGAGCAACAUCGAGCCUGGUUAUUACCAAGAUGAGUGACCGUUUGGGAAUAGCAGGUGCUGCAAA